GAUGCCGCCUCACUCCAGUGCGAGUCAAUAAAACUUUGUGCACCGACACACACAACUUCCAGCACCCACCAGCUGGGCCAAAAUGGGGAUUAGCAAAGCCGCCUUUCUCUUUCUUUUCUUGCUCAGCUCAGUGAAAGGAGAUAUUCUGGAUGACUAUUUAAGAACAGAUGGUGUUUGGAUACUUACUCGAAAUAAACAGUCUUACAAGACAAAUAAUGAAAAAGAAUGUGCAGAGAAAUGUGAAGCAGAAAGAAAUUUUAAUUGCAGGGCCUUCCUAUUCACCAGGAAAAAGCUACAGUGUUUAACACUGGCUGAAAAUGCCAAAAUGACAGUGACGUUCAGCAGCACGGAUGCAGUUCUUUAUGAGAAGAAAAUUUACCUUCUACAGUGUAGAAGAGGGAUUGGGAAGGACUACAGAGGAAUGGAAGCCAAAACUUGGAGGGGUAUUCCAUGCCAGAAGUGGGCAGAAAAAACACCCCACAACCCAAAUUAUACACCUGAAAAACACCCCAAUGCAGGGUUGGAUGAAAACUACUGCAGAAAUCCUGAUGGGGAUGAACGUGGACCCUGGUGUUACACAACAGAUUCUGCUACCAGAUUUGAUUACUGUAACAUCCCAGAGUGUGAGGGCCAGGUCAUGCACACUGGAGAAGGCCUAGGCCCUACAACGGAGUGCAUGCAGUGUAAUGGUGAAGACUACCAUGGAGAAGUUUCCAGAACAGAGUCUGGGCUUGAGUGCCAGCACUGGGAUACCCAAGAGCCUCAUAUGCAUGGAUUUACCCCGAAACAUUUUCCAGAGAAAGAUCUGAAGUUGAAUUAUUGCCGUAAUCCUGAUGGCGAACUUCGGCCCUGGUGUUUCACUACCAGCCCUACUAAACGCUGGGAAUAUUGCAACAUUCCUCGUUGCACUAUGCACCCACCAGUCUCUGGCCUGGGCUCCCAGUGUCUUUCAGGGAAAGGAGAAGACUAUCGAGGCAGGAUAGCCAUCACCAAAUCGGGAAAUGCCUGUCAACACUGGAACACGCAGUUUCCUCACAGACAUGGCUGGAUUCCUGACAGAUAUCCCUGCAAGGGCUUAGAGGAAAACUAUUGUAGAAACCCUGGUGGAGAGAAAAGGCCCUGGUGCUACACCAUCAACAGCAGCGUUCGGUGGGAAUAUUGUGCAAUUCCCCACUGUGAUGGGACAGAACAAGGAAUUGCUGAUGUGCCUAUGGAAGUUCCCCUGCCAGAGGAGUGCUACCGAGGCAAAGGCCAGAGUUAUCGUGGCACAACUUCCAUCACUGCAUCGGGAAAAAAAUGCCAGGCCUGGAACUCCAUGUUCCCGCACAGGCAUGAAAAAACCCCGGACAGAUUCCCAAAUGCGGAUUUGAGGGACAACUAUUGUAGAAACCCAGACGGUGAUAACAGCCCAUGGUGUUUCACCACUGACCCCAGCGUGACAUGGGAGUACUGCAAUCUCAAGAGGUGUGAUGAUCAUACACAAGAGCCCGCAACAAAUGACCCCCCUGCAACAACGGAACAAAAUGUUGGCCUGACUACACCCACCACAUCUGACUGCAUUAACGGUAAUGGUAAAGACUAUCGUGGCACCAUAGCAAAAACUGGAAGGGGCAGGACUUGUCAAGAGUGGAGUUCACAGAAACCUCAUAGCCACAAAUAUUUCACUCCUGUGACUCAUCCAAGAGCAGGCCUGGAUAAAAAUUAUUGCAGGAAUCCUGAUGGAGAUGUAAAUGGUGUUUGGUGCUUCACAACAGACCCAGAAAAAAAAUGGGAGUACUGCGAAAUCCCACGCUGCUCUUCUUCUGAGCAUGACUGUGGAAAAGUCCUAAUGAGGAGUGAGCGAGCCUGUGAGCAAUAUAGCAUGUGCAGCGCAUCUCCAGGGUCUUGGCCUUGGCACGUCAGUCUCAGGAUGAGUACCAACAUGCACCAUUGUGCUGGCACUCUGAUACAUCCACAGUGGGUCCUUACUGCAGCUCAGUGCUUGCAAGAGUCAACAGAGCCUUCUUCCUACAGGGUGUUUCUUGGGAUACAGAAUCUCAAUGCAGCAGAGUCAUCCCUGCAAAUCCAAAGUGUUCAAAAAGUAUUAAAGGAACCAAGUGGAGCAGACAUUGCUUUGCUGAAGUUGAACAGUCCUGUAACAAUUACUGACCGUGUAAAACCAGUUUGUUUGCCUGAAACCAGUCUGAUGGUAGAAAGAAACGCAGUAUGUUUUCUAACUGCCUGGGGAAAAACAAGAGGUACCGACAUGGACAACAGAUUAAAAGAUGUUGAAUUCCCUGUGCUUGAAAAUAGAAUAUGUAAUCGCCCUGAAUAUCUGAAUGGAAGUGUCAAAAAUCAUGAAUUUUGUGGUGGAUUUACUUUUGGAAGCAUAGAUAACUGCGAGGCUGAAGUUGGAGGACCUCUGGUCUGCAAAGAUAAGGACAGAUUUGUCCAAUAUGGAGUCACCUCUUGGGGACUGGACUGUACCCAGCCAUCAAAGCCUGUUUUUGUCCGAAUUCCUAGUUUUGUUUCUUGGAUCAAGAAUGCAAUGGUUGCCCACUGAAUCUGGAUGCAGGCUACUUUUUCUGGAAAGCAGUCCCAGUGUCAGAAACAGCAUUCCAAUGUAACUCAUUAUUACUAGGACUGUGUCAAUACAUUGUCAUAGAAGUUAGGAACUUGGACCCUGCUUCUGGUAAUAACACCAGCACUUUUGUCAUCGGAUGGCACCCUGCAUCCUUGGCACACA